rnacentral:rRNA from 1 species
UACGUAGGGGGCGAGCGUUGUCCGGAUUUAUUGGGCGUAAAGAGCUCGUAGGCGGUUUCGUAAGUCGGAUGUGAAAACUCCAGGCUCAACUUGGAGACGCCAUUCGAUACUGCGAUGACUUGAGUCCGGUAGGGGAGUGUGGAAUUCCUGGUGUAGCGGUGAAAUGCGCAGAUAUCAGGAGGAACACCGGCGGCGAAGGCGGCACUCUGGGCCGGUACUGACGCUGAGACGCGAAAGCGUGGGGAGCGAACAGG